GACGAACGCUGGCGGCGUGCUUAACACAUGCAAGUCGAACGAUGAGGCAAAGCAUUGAAGCUUCGGCAGAAAUUCAUUUCGGAUUAGUGGCAGACGGGUGAGUAACGUGUGAGUAACCUACCUGUUACAAAGGGAUAGCUUCGGGAAACCGGGAGUAAUACCAUAUAAGAUUGGGACGAAGCAUUUCGGUGCAAUCAAAGCUACGGGGGGCAGAUCUGGGCGCGCGUCACAUUAACCAUGUGGUGAGGUAAGGGCUCACCAUUGUCACGGUGGGUAACCGGGCUGAGGACGGGCACGAUCACACUGGAACUUCGACACUGUCUAGACUCCUACGGGGGGCAGCAGUAGAGAAUAUUGCACAAUGAAGCGAAAUGCGACACAGCCACGCCGCGUAAGACAUGAAGCAAUUCGUUUCGUACAACCCUGUUCUAUGGGAAGAAAAUGACUGUACCAGAUAAGAAAGCUCCGGCUAAAUACGUG
rnacentral:rRNA from 1 species